rnacentral:rRNA from 1 species
CGAACGAGUGAGUAACACGUGGGCAACCUGCCCAAAAGAGGGGGAUAACACUUGGAAACAGGUGCUAAUACCGCAUAACCAUAGUUACCGCAUGGUAACUAUGUAAAAGGUGGCUAUGCUACCGCUUUUGGAUGGGCCCGCGGCGCAUUAGCUAGUUGGUGGGGUAAAGGCUUACCAAGGCAAUGAUGCGUAGCCGAACUGAGAGGUUGAUCGGCCACAUUGGGACUGAGACACGGCCCAAACUCCUACGGGAGGCAGCAG